AAGCACAUGGAGAAAGCCCAGAUGCCCCAGCCUGCCUGCACCUGAGUGGCUGGGGAAAUGCCCACACCCCAGCUGCUCCUCCCAGCUUUGGGCGCCUCCAACCAGUCACAGCAAGUGCCCAACAGGCCCCAGGCAGGAUCAGGCUGCUGCCUCUCGCAGAGCAGGCACUGGGAUACUGGCCACAGUGCCCCUCCUCACUGCCUCCACCCCUGGCCCUUAUCAGACACAAUUCGUUUUAAAGAAAAAAUAAUAUUUAUUUGCAAUAUAAACAAAGUCCCGUUGCUGGAUCGGGAUAUAUAUAUAUGUAUGUGUGUGUAUAUAUAUGUAGGGUCACAAAUUUUCCUUCAUAAGUUCAUAAAGCAAAACUGGCCACCCUCUUGGCAUACCCUCAUUUACACAAAUCUGAUGCAUCUUUCUGGGUUUUUCUUUUUAAAGGUAAAAAAGAGAGAAAGAGAACCAUGUACAGCAUGGAAGCUUUUUGUCAAUUUCUUGACUGUGGCAAGAUUUUAAUCUGCUGCCUUAAAGAAUCCCUGAAAACCACCCCUGUGAGGAUCAAGAAAGGGAUGAAAUACUGGUUUAUACAAUCCACUGUUGCAUGUAGCCUGAAAAUAACACUUCUCAUUAAAAAAGAAAAAUCAAGAAGAGCUUGAACACUCUCUGCUCCAGGGAGCUCGGGUUUACCUGCCAAAAAUAAAAAGUAAACUCAG